AGACUGCGUUUGAAACUGGUUAUCUUGAGUGUAACAGAGGAGAGUGGAAUUCCUAGUGUAGUGGUGAGAUACGUAGAUAUUAGGAAGAACACCAGUGGCGAAGGCGACUCUCUGGGUUAACACUGACGCUGAGGUACGAAAGCUGGGGGAGCGAACGGGAUUAGAUACCCCGGUAGUCCCAGCCGUAAACGAUGGAUACUAGGUGUUGGAGGUUCGAAUCCUUCAGUGCCGGAGUUAACGCAUUAAGUAUCCCGCCUGGGGAUUACGGUCGCAAGACUGAAACUCAAAGGAAUUGACGGGGGCCCGCACAAGCGGUGGAGCAUGUGGUUUAAUUCGAAGCAACGCGAAGAACCUUACCGAGAAUUGACAUCCCGUGACCAUCUAUGAGAGUAGA
rnacentral:rRNA from 1 species